UUUCGGGUACUUAUUACACUGGCGAACGGGUGAGUAACGCGUGGGCGACCUGCCUUAAGGUCUGAGAUAACCUUCCGAAAGGGGGGCUAAUACCGGAUGAGUCAUCUGAAUGCCUGUUUGGAUGAUAAAAGGUGCAAUUGCAUCGCCAUAAGAUGGGCCCGCGUCCCAUUAGGUAGUUGGAGAGGUAAUGGCUCCCCAAGCCGACGAUGGGUAGCUGAUCUGAGAGGAUGAUCAGCCACACUGGGACUGAGAUACGGCCCAGACUCCUACGGGAGGCAGCAGUGAGGAAUAUUGCGCAAUGGACGCAAGUCUGACGCAGCAACGCCGCGUGGGUGAAGACGCUUUUAGGAGUGUAAAGCCCUGUCAGGUGGGAAGAGAGGCAGAUAGAGUGGAAAGCUAUUUGCAGGACGGUACCACCAGAGGAAGCUCCGGCUAACUCCGUGCCAGCAGCCGCGGUAAUACGGGGGGAGCGAGCGUUGUCCGGAAUCAUUGGGCGUAAAGGGCGCGUAGGCGGAUAGGUCAGUCAGAUGUGAAAUGUCCCGGCUUAACCGGGGAGUUGCAUUUGAAACUGCCGAUCUUGAGUGUCGUAGGGGAUGAUGGAAUUCCUGGUGUAGCGGUGAAAUGCGUAGAGAUCAGGAAGAACACCGGUGGCGAAGGCGGUCAUCUGGGCGAAUACUGACGCUGAGGCGCGAAAGUGUGGGUAGCAAACAGGAUUAGAUACCCUGGUAGUCCACACUGUAAACGGUGGGCACUGGACGUUGGUUCCAUGCGGGAUCAGUGUCGCAGCAAACGCAUUAAGUGCCCCGCCUGGGGAGUACGAUCGCAAGGUUGAAACUCAAAGGAAUUGACGGGGGCCCGCACAAGCGGUGGAGCAUGUGGUUUAAUUCGAUGCAACGCGAAGAACCUUACCGGGGUUUGACAUAUAUACGGCGUGGGUAGAGAUAUCCAUUUCCUUCGGGACGUAUAUACAGGUGCUGCAUGGCUGUCGUC
rnacentral:rRNA from 1 species